UCGCGGCUUAUCACCGGCAGUCCCUUUAGAGUGCUCACCGUUACGUGUUAGCAACUAAAGGCAGGGGUUGCGCUCGUUGCGGGACUUAACCCAACAUCUCACGACACGAGCUGACGACAACCAUGCACCACCUGUGCACGACCCUUACGGACCCACCAUCUCUGGAGGAUUUCCGUGCAUGUCAAGCCUAGGUAAGGUUCUUCGCGUUGCAUCGAAUUAAGCAACAUGCUCCACCGCUUGUGCGGGCCCCCGUCAAUUCCUUUGAGUUUCAGCCUUGCGGCCGUACUCCCCAGGCGGGGCACUUAAUGCGUUAGCGCCGGCACCCAGGGGGUCGCUCCCCCAGGCACCUAGUGCCCAUCGUUUACGGCGUGGACUAC
rnacentral:misc_RNA from 1 species